rnacentral:rRNA from 1 species
UACGGAGGGGGCAAGCGUUAUUCGGAAUUAUUGGGCGUAAAGGGCGCGUAGGCGGCUAGAUGUGUCAAAGGUGAAAUCCCUCGGCUCAACUGAGGAACUGCCUUUGAAACUGUCUGGCUUGAGGCCGGGAGAGGGUAGCGGAAUUCCCAGUGCAGCGGUGAAAUGCGCAGAUAUCGGGAGGAACACCAAUGGCGAAGGCAGCUCGCUGGGACGUUACUGACGCUGAGACGCGAAAGCGUGGGGAGCAAACAGG